rfam:Zea mays cultivar B73 chromosome 5, whole genome shotgun sequence.
CAGCUGUCCAGUGAACACAAAGCGAACUAAUCUUUCGCCUUUUACUAAAGAUUACCGUGUGUUUGCUGGGAAUAUAAGCAGCAUACCAAUAUUUUUGUAGGGUUUCUUCUCUUUGAGGAGGGU